AUUGCUUUUGCUCCUCUCUAGUUUUCUCGAGUUCUUGCGCUACCUCUCUGUCUCUCCGGUUCUGUUCUCUUGCGGCAUGAGGGUUCGGAACAAGCAAGCCUCCGGAACCCCUCUCGCCAGAGUACCUGCUCGGGUAGGCGGUUGCUAAGGUUUUUCCGGAGUGCGUUCACAUGACUGCUUGCUGCAUCAUGUCUUCCGAUGGCGGCGGCAAUGGUGGUGGUGCUGGAGCACAUGGUGACGGUGAUGGCAUGCGCAACAACAACGGAAACGUCAACGUCAACAGGAACAACAACACUAACGGAGGCAGUACUGCCUCAAACCCAACGGAGGGCCAUUUUCCGAUUCAUCAGCAAGCAUAUGGAUCUAGACAAGGUUAAAAAGUCUUAUAUUAUACAAUAUAUGUACUACGAACAUCAAUAGGAAACAAAGUUGAAACACAAGGCUUCUAUGCUGGCAAACAUUGAAAUAGCUCGGGAGAGGGUUCCGGGGGAAAGGGCUAGGACCGGUGGCGCCACCCGAGCUGCAGAGUGCAACAAGAGGAGGAGAGCCAUGUAGCACCUUUGGCACCUACUCCUGUUGACACUCCUAGUCCAGCUGCCCUGCCCACCCUUGCCAUCAGGUGCGCAACACCUAGUUCACCUGCCUCAUCAAGCUCGUGAAUCUCAGUUGCAACGUUGGCCACCCAUGCAAGCACAACGAGCCCGAUCUCUACACCGCCCUUCGUCUUCGCAGCAGCAUCAAGGCCAGCGACGGCACCAAGCACUUUGAGAUAACAUCGUGUUGGCAUAGUUUUUUUUUGUCUUGUACGUAUUUGUACUUUUGGCUAUUUUUUGAAAUAUUUGAAGGUAUCAUUCAUCGGUUAUUCAUUUAUGAUGGCA